rnacentral:rRNA from 2 species
AUGGACUUGUCCUGAAUUUCGGCGGANGGGUGAGUACACGUGGGCAACCUGCCUAUAAGACUGGGAUAACUUCGGGAAACCGGAGCUAAUACCGGAUACGUUCUUUUCUCGCAUGAGAGAAGAUGGAAAGACGGUUUACGCUGUCACUUAUAGAUGGGCCCGCGGCGCAUUAGCUAGUUGGUGAGGUAAUGGCUCACCAAGGCGACGAUGCGUAGCCGACCUGAGAGGGUGAUCGGCCACACUGGGACUGAGACACGGCCCAGACUCCUACGGGAGGCAGCAGUAGGGAAUCUUCCGCAAUGGACGAAAGUCUGACGGAGCAACGCCGCGUGAACGAAGAAGGCCUUCGGGUCGUAAAGUUCUGUUGUUAGGGAAGAACAAGUACCAGAGUAACUGCUGGUACCUUGACGGUACCUAACCAGAAAGCCACGGCUAA